UAACUGGCUUAUUGAAGCCAAGCAUCCAUAAUGAUGUUGCUUUUUGAUCCUUCUGUGUCAGCUUUCCGUAUCACUGUGAAGCAGGAUUCACCAGGUGUUUCAUUUUCUGCUCAGUAAUAGGAAAAAUGAGCUAGGAUUAGGCUCUUGUGAGAUGAGUU
rfam:Colinus virginianus strain Texas jcf7180006227045, whole genome shotgun sequence.